UCAAGAGGAUUCUUGGUAAUUCUCUAAUUGUGCUUCUAAUUGCUUUUUAAUCAUCUUUGUUCUUCCAUAUUAUGAAUAUGACUUUGUUCUACUUCAAUAUAUUGCUUAUGACUUUGCUCUACUUGUUUAUAUUCAAGAUUAUAUUGUUCUUAGUUUAUCAUAGUUAUGUACUUGGCUUAGUUAGAUUGGAUCUAUAUACAUGCUUAGGAUCGUAUAGCGUUUAUCCAUCGGAUCCAUGGGUAAAUGAUAGAUAUUGUGUAGGUGUUGGGUAUUUUAAACGCAAACAGAAAAAUCCGCAAGCGCACGGAUAUCGAUGUAGCCUUCACCCGGGAGUAUUCUAGAGUAUCGAUUUUCCACAGGGAACGUGAGUGUACUAAUUAAGAUCCAAGAUAGCCCAAGGAUAACUAUAUGAUUAUUUUUGGUGGGAAGAGAUGAAGUUUCCUGAGAGUUCUCUAGUUAAUCUAAGAAUCAAGAAAUUACUUCAAGAUUAUCUAUAUCGGGACAUCAGAACACUAACCACAGAAAG
rnacentral:lncRNA from 1 species